rnacentral:rRNA from 1 species
AUGAGAGAUGGCUGCGACACCACCAAGAAGAGCAAGCUGUCGUGGUCCAAGAGCUUGGUGCGGAAGUGGUUCAACAUCAGGAGCAAGGCCCACGACUUCCACGCCGACGACGCCGCCGCCGCCACCGGGAGGAGGGGCGACGACGACGAGUGGAGGGGCAGCAGCUUCGCCAGGAACGAGCCGACCAGCGCCGCCAAGAAGAGCCGGACGGAGCGGCCGUCCAGGAGGAGCCGCGAGCACUCGAGGCGGGGCAAGAUCGACCUCGACGCCGCCGAGGCCACCGUCACCAUGGACUACAGGAUCUUCGUUGCUACGUGGAAUGUGGGCGGCCGAUCCCCUCCCGGCGGCAUGGGCCUCGAGGACUGGCUCCACGCCGCGCCGCCCGCCGACAUCUACGUCCUCGGGUUCCAAGAGAUCGUGCCGCUGAACGCCGGGAACGUGCUGGGCACGGAGGACAACGGGCCGGCGAGGAAGUGGGUGUCGCUGAUCAGGAGGACGCUGAACGACCUGCCGGGCGCCGGCAGCGGCAGCGGCAACGGGAGCUUCCGGACGCCGUCGCCGGCGCCGCCGGACCCGGUGGCGGAGGCGGACGACGACUUCGAGGGGGCGAGGCAUCAGACCAACAACGCGGCCUUCUUCCACCGCCGGUCCUUCCACAGCCGGAGCCUGCGGAUGGAGGGCGACGCCCUGGCGCCGCAGCCCAGGCUGGAGCGCCGGUACAGCGUCUGCGACCGCGCGAUCUACGGCUCCCGCCGGCCCAGCGACUACGAGGCGCACUGCCGGUGGGGCGGCUCGUCGGACGACGACAACAACACCGGGGAGUCGCCCAGCACGGUGUACUCGCCCAUGUCGUACGGGUACGGCCACGCGCCGUCCCUGGACGACGGCCAUAGGCCAGCUUCUGGUCACACUAGAUAUUGCCUGGUUGCAAGCAAGCAAAUGGUGGGAUUGUUUCUGAUGAUUUGGGCUCGGAAGGACAUUAGGGAUGACAUCAGAAAUCUCAAGGUUUCCUGUGUUGGCAGAGGAUUGAUGGGCUACCUUGGGAACAAGGGUUCGAUUUCGAUUAGCAUGACAUUGCACCAAACAAGCUUCUGCUUCGUCUGCAGCCACCUGACGUCGGGGCAGAAGGAAGGCGACGAGAUGCGGCGCAACUCAGAUGUGCUUGAGAUCCUCAGGAAGACCAGGUUCCCAAUGGUUUACGGGCAGUAUGAGCGCUCACCGGAAACUAUCUUAGAGCAUGAUCGAAUCAUCUGGCUCGGGGACCUAAAUUACCGAAUCGCACUUUCCUAUCGGUCAGUGAAGGCCCUGGUGGAGAUGCGCAAUUGGAAAGCAUUGCUGGAGAAAGAUCAGCUGAGGAUUGAACAAAGAGGCGGGCGGGUGUUUGCCGGGUGGAACGAGGGGAGGAUAUACUUCCCGCCGACAUACAAAUACUCAACCAAUUCUGACAAGUAUGCCGGGGAGGACAUGAACCAGAAGGAAAAGAGGAGAACUCCUGCAUGGUGCGAUCGCAUUUUGUGGUAUGGAAGGGGCCUAGGUCAACUAUCAUACGUUCGAGGCGAGUCUCGGUUCUCAGAUCAUAGGCCAGUCUACAGCGUAUUCAGUGCAGAGGUGGAGUCGAUCAACCACAGUCGAAUUCAAAAAAUGAGUUGUUCAAGCUCGCAGUUGGACAUCGGAGAGCUACUGCCCUACUCUUACGGAUACACCGACAUCAACCCGUAUGGCUACACCGACCUGAAUUUCUACUGA